UGAGUGGUGGAGGUAGGUUUGGUGGAGUGUAGUAGGUGAUAGGAGUGAGUGGUGGAGGUAGGUUUGGUGGAGUGUAGUAGGUGAUAGGAGUGAGUGGUGGAGGUAGGUUUGGUGGAGUGUAGUAGGUGAUUUACAUUUACAUUAACAA